UGUUGGGAAACACACAUUUCUCAUUCUGUUUGAGUUGUCCCACACAAAGCCAGGGUACCUUUCUAUUAGCAGGCUGCUAGUGUCGCACGAAUGAGACUGGAAACACAGCAUGACGGGAUACAUGUAUAUCAUUAAUUUAUUCAUUGGAUAACAUUUCCACAAAAUGCGGAGUUAUUUACAGUGUAUGUUUAUAUCAGAAAACUUUUGCCAUUUCAAUGGAAUGCCACUAGGAACACAUUAGGUAUACAUGCACAUAGCACUCGAUAGCAGUGGCCCGUUGCCGAUUCACCUGGCAUUGAGCUAUGCUCAGUAACGCGUAAAAAAAAACCCCUUCGUGAUAUUACUCAACGUCAUUGAGGAAGUAAUGUAACAUGCGCCAUAUUGCCACAAGACCUUACAUUCAGCGGCUCUAACUAUAUGAUAUGAAGGAUAGGUUUUGCCAACUGACUCCUACCUAUGAUUCCGUCUGAGCUCAAGAGUGUAGAAACGCAGGGCAGUUAAAACAUGGCGGAGGGAGAACGCGACAAGGAAGUGUCAGAAUUGCAACUGAGCAAACUUGCUGAACGUAUUGGGCCCAACGAAUGGAAG